UUUAGACCUCAGGGUGGUCAAGGAUGAACCCGGGCCGCCCGCGUGGCAGGCGAGCAUUCUACCACUGAACCACCGA